rnacentral:rRNA from 1 species
GCACCUACUCCUACGGGAGGCAGCAGUGGGGAAUAUUGCACAAUGGGCGCAAGCCUGAUGCAGCGACGCCGCGUGAGGGAUGACGGCCUUCGGGUUGUAAACCUCUUUCAGUAGGGAAGAAGCGAAAGUGACGGUACCUGCAGAAGAAGCGCCGGCUAACUACGUGCCAGCAGCCGCGGUAAUACGUAGGGCGCAAGCGUUAUCCGGAAUUAUUGGGCGUAAAGAGCUCGUAGGCGGUUUGUCGCGUCUGCCGUGAAAGUCCGGGGCUCAACUCCGGAUCUGCGGUGGGUACGGGCAGACUAGAGUGAUGUAGGGGAGACUGGAAUUCCUGGUGUAGCGGUGAAAUGCGCAGAUAUCAGGAGGAACACCGAUGGCGAAGGCAGGUCUCUGGGCAUUAACUGACGCUGAGGAGCGAAAGCAUGGGGAGCGAACAGGAUUAGAUACCCUGGUAGUCCAUGCCGUAAACGUUGGGCACUAGGUGUGGGGGACAUUCCACGUUUUCCGCGCCGUAGCUAACGCAUUAAGUGCCCCGCCUGGGGAGUACGGCCGCAAGGCUAAAACUCAAAGGAAUUGACGGGGGCCCGCACAAGCGGCGGAGCAUGCGGAUUAAUUCGAUGCAACGCGAAGAACCUUACCAAGGCUUGACAUGGACCGGACCGCCGCAGAACAUGUGGUCCCCCUU